AGUGGUGGUUGGAGAGGUGGAAAGUGAGGCAUCUGAAAGGCAAUCUGAGAGUGAGGAUGAAGACAUUCAGGAUCAGAUUGAGGGACAGAAUGAGGGACAACCCAACAAGUCAUUGGGACAACCAGAUUCACCAUGCAUAUCAAGUACAGCACAGAUAUCAGCAAGUGCUUGGACGACACUCCAGUGCAGCCACGUCUGAAGAAAAGGUUCAUUGUAUGCAAAAAUAGAAAUCUUAUUUUACAAAAAAGAGAAACAUGGUUUUAAGAUUUACUGAGCACAAUUUAUUUUAUGUUUAGGCUAUUGAGACAGAAUGUUUAUCUCAUUGUAUUUAUGCUCAAUGUAUUUUGUUUUGGUUUUAAAUAAACUAAACAAAACAUUUUGAACGCCUAAA